GCUUAUUAGGCAUGGAUCAAAAAUGAAGUCAGCAAGAUAAUGUUCUUGGACUUCUUUUUCCUUUUUCGACUUGCUCUCUACUAAUUCUUGUGGUUCAUAGCGUUUAUUAUUUUCAUGACCCGCAACAGUUCUUGAGAUUUUUAUUGUUAUUGAUCUGAAGUAUGUUAUUUGCCAUCAGCCUUAUUUUAUUUCACUUCGCAUCAAUUGAGUUUUCAUUUCAAAUUUUAUACACUAACCGAGGAUAUUAUAUUUGAAAUUUUUCCAAAGCAUAAAUAAUUCAGGUAUUGAUAUCCAUCUUAAAAACAUCCAAUAGUCUCUAGCAGAUUUGCUAC
rnacentral:lncRNA from 7 species